rnacentral:lncRNA from 1 species
AUGUGGGCGAUUUCUUCAACUUUCUCCCCUUCGGUCUCUCAUCUUUGGCUUGCACAAUGGACGCGAGGGAGCGGGGCCGGGGAUCCCUCACCCGGGGCGGCCGGGCGGGCAGCGGGCUGUAAUUUUCUUGCAUGCAACAAGACGGAGGAAAAGAAAGGGGGGGGGGGGGGAAGGGGAAAGAAAGAAAGAAAGAAAGAAAGGCAGAAAAAAAAAAAAAAAAAAGGCUGCCGAUGCCCAAUCAAUGGCGAGGCGAAGCGGUCCCCUCGCCCUCGCCCUCGCCCUCGCCUCCGCGGGCUCCCCUCGGCGGCGUGCAAAACGAGCCCCGGGAAAGCAACUUCACCGGCUCCUCCUCCUCCGCGCUCCCGUGCAGAGCGCUCGGGGCGCGCCAAGUCCGCCGGCCGCUGCCCGGCUUCGGCCGCUAGUGCCUCCUGCAGCUGGGGCGCCGUAACCUCACGAAUCCCUGCAUGUCUCUCCGCCCGCUCCCGCAGCGGCUCCGGCGCUCCGGCGGGGUCUCGGGCUGCUGCUGCGCUCGCGCUUCGCAGGCCCCCGCGCGAUCGCCGCCGACCGCCGCGUUCGGUCGCCGAGUGUUACCCGGUUCUGAAUGUUACACUUACACAUUCCAUUCCCGACACGACAGCGCUGACCUCAUCCAUCCACGCAGCCCGCGCUGCCAUUGGCUGAGCGUCACGUCCGGGGGGGGCGGUGCUUCCGCUGCGCCCAUUCAUAACCCCCGGCCGCGGGCCCAGGCGCCGGCGCGGGGGCGCGGGGGGCGCGGGGGCGCGGGCGGGCGGAGCGCGGGGCGCGGGGAGCCGAGGGCGGGCGGGGACCCGGACCCGGGCCCGGGCCGCCUGCCGCCUGCCGCCUGCCGCCGCGCCGGGAGCCAGAGGCGAGGGCUCCCAGGGCAACCCCGGCUCCGCGGCCGCCGCCGUGCGCGGGCUCCCCGGGAGGGCGGCGCGGACCACGGACCGCACACCCCGAGCCGGCCGCCCCCGCCCCGCCCAGGACCAGGGCUCUCGCUUCCCACCGAGCCUUGAAACAGGUCCCGUAUUCCCCCCCGCAAAGCGCAGCCUUGUUUUUCUUCUUUUUUCCUCCGCCCUCCCCCCAAGGACACGCCCCAGUGCCCCCCCCCCCCCAUCCCCAGAUAAAGAGGAAAUACUACGAUCGAGUGGCGAUCCCUCGGGUCUGUCUCUGUGCCGGGAGAGGACCUGGAAUCGAAUCCUCCCGCGCCACGCGCACACCCUCUCCUGGCUCCCUGCAGCCCCUUCGUCUGUCGUGCAGAAAGCUCCCGAAGUCAGCCACUCCUGGGGGGGGGGGGGGCAGGAGGGGAGAUUCUCUUUUCUUUUUUUUUUUAUUUUUUUUUUAUUGGAGUUCAAUUUGCCAACAUAUAGCAUAACACCCAGGG